rnacentral:rRNA from 1 species
UGCGGACAUAUCAUAACGAAGAGAUAUCGUAAUUGAAGAGGUUUGGAAAGACCCACCACAGAAGGUAAUAGUCCUGUAUGUUAAACGAGAAGACUUUAGAUAUGAUCCAAAGUACCACGGGACACGUGAAACCCUGUGGGAAGCAGGAGGGACCACCCUCCAAGGCUAAAUACUACCUAGUGACCGAUAGCGUAUAGUACCGUGAGGGAAAGG